UAGAGGCAUUCCAGAAUCACAUUCUGAUGUAUGCCAGCAAGCGCUACGCUUUCAGUCCUCCAGUUUAUGAGGCAAGAGUUCUGCUUGCUGCUUUGGACUACAAUUUUCACCGCAACCAACCAACACUGAAAACAGCUGAUGGCAAAGAGAUUUUCAGAAGGCUGUACAAGAAAAAUGCCAGACGAUACAGUGUCUACGCCCUGAAAGCUGAAAAAACCUAUGGCUACAUAACUGAGCUGCAAGCAAAGAUUGUUAACCGAAGAAUCACAAGUGGAGUGGGGAUGCCUCAAAGGAGAAGCCUUCGACCGGAUGACCCCAGACGGCUCAGACUAGUGCCCCCUGUACCUGCACCAUCCAUAGCAGAACUGGUGCGGACACAAGUACGGAGAGGACUAGGACCAGCUUUCCGUGAUGAUGAUGAAUCAGACUGAUCCAGAUAGGAGUCUUCCAACAAUCCAUGACUGAAUCAAAGUGAUAAAUGCACAGCUCUUACUAUUCCAAUUAAUGCUUUGCCAUCUCAUUUUUUGUUUUUCUCAGUCUGCUGUAAAGUAGACAUAAUAAGCUCUUGAAAUGUUGUCUGUUUGACACUAAAUGCUGCAUUUUUAUGAUUGUGUGCCAGCAGAUCUAUUGCUAUUGUCUACAUAAAAAUGUGUGGCCUACAAUUUCUUUAUAAAUAAGUCUUUCAUUUUACAAAUGUCAGUAUUUACAGUUUUUUAGACAUUUUUGGUAUCAAAAUUGUAAGGUACACUUGUCACUUGUAAUGAACAGUACAUGCAUACAUUGUGUGUGGCAAUAUGUCACAUUGACAAAUGAUACUAAUUUAAAGGAAACUGCAGUACUGUCAUACUUACCAUAUAAUUAUAUAUAAAGUCACUAUAUACUAAGUUUAUGUUUACAUUGCAGUAAA